rnacentral:misc_RNA from 1 species
UUGAAUAAACUUGGUCAAGCUGUUGCUGGUCCUUCGGGGCAUGUGCACGCUUGCCACCAAUUUUAACCACCUGUGCACCUCUUGUAGAUUGGAAACGUUUCUCGAGGCAACUCGGAUUGAGGACUGCUGCGCGCAAGCCAGCUGUUCUUGUGUUUCUCAAUCUAUGUUUUCAUAUACCCCUAAUGUAUGUAUCAGAAUGUAUUGUUAGGCCUCAGUGCCUUUAAAUCAAAUA